rnacentral:lncRNA from 1 species
AUAAUAUUAAGUCAUGAGUCCGCCCCUAGGGCACAUAGAAGAAUGAAAAACUUAAGUUGGGCUAUUUUGUAACUUGUAAGUUACCUUAAUUUUUGUGUCGUUUCCAAAAAUUUCCCAUUUUAUUACUUCGUGUAGAAUUUUAAUACUCAGUAGAAUUUUAUAAAGGUCAAAUGUCUUAGGAAUGAAGAGUAAUAGUAAAAGAGAGGUGUGUUUCAAUUGAGUGGGGCAGUUGAAAAUUACAGGCGCAUAAACUGAUUCGACCUAAAGGGAAAUGAGCUGGGGAACGAAACGGCAAGUCGUUUUCAGCGUAAAUAUGGAUCUGGGCUGGAAAAUUAAUACGACAAAUUAGUAGUGAGCCCAGUAACCUUUUUAGGAAAGUGGCAUUUGAGAGUGACUCAGGUGACUUGUACAGGCACGUGUCAGCCUGUUGCUUAUGUAAUUAACCCUUGAAAUGAAAGGUGUCAUUGCCUUAUCGUAAGCUCCAGAUUUGUCCAUCAAUUUUUAUUUUUUCCCUUUCUCAUUAUUGGGCUAACGAAAAUUCCCACCAAGACUCAUUCCACUAUAAAAUUAUCAUGGACUGUCCACAUCCUUAUGUGAAGACAAAUAUCACAAAAAAUAGAAAUUAUUAUUUUUUUCAUAUUUUUAUUCUGUGUCUCGCUCUUAAUUGUAACUAUGAUGAAGGGACCUUUAUAUAAGCUAUAGAGGAAACUAUAAUAUGAAGGAAAUAAUACAAAUAAUAAAUGCAAUUCCGUACACAUAUCUAGGGAUUUUAAAAUUGUGAUUUUGGAGCUUUAUGAGAAUCAUGGAGAUUUUUUCGUUAGCCCCAUCAAUGACAAUUAUCAAGAACUUUGGAUGUAUGAGGCACAAAUUCUUAAUUUAAAAGUUUGUUUAAUUUGAUGGACAAAUCAUGUUUAACUCUAAAUAAGAUGUAUGAAACGCUUCUUUUAUCAUUGAUGUAAAAUUUUUUUUGAUAAUAUCAUAAUUUUUUGGUAUAAAAUAUUUUUUUUGAUAUGAAUAUUUAUCCAUACCAUUUUUAAUUAUUUAUGUAAUUCCACAAUUAUUUCCCUUGACUAAGUUAUAUUUUCCUUUAUAUCAUCAUCAUCAAUAAUGUUAGAGAUAUUAAUAUUUGAGUCUCAAUACCAUAUAUCACUCAUUUAUUAAAUGAUAGAUUUUAUAACUUGUAAAAUUAUUAAACUAUGAUCAAAUAAAUAAAUACUACAUUAGUUGAGACUCAAAGUAAAACUUGAAUAUUAGAAUAGGCUCUAUUAUCAAUUAUAUUCUCUCAUUAUGCUUCCAUGCCUAUAAAUUAAAGGAGGCUGGUUUCCACGCUAAUUUGUAAUAUUGACACUUAAGAAUAUGAGAAAUAAAUUUUUAUUUGUAUUAAAAGAUUUAAAUAUGAAUUAAAUUAUUAUUAUAAUCGUUUUUGAAUUUAUCAAAAUAGAGGGGAGGGAUUCAAAUUACGAUAUCUUACAAGGCAGCAGGAAUCAGAAUUCCCCCAAAUAGAGAAAUUAGAUUCCUAAAUGAAAAUGCCAAUGAAUCCUAAAGUCCAUCUCACUCAAAUCACCAAACAAAACAUGGGAGUCAUGUGGGUUGAGUGGGCUUAUUGGGCCAUUUUGGGCUGUGCAUUAACGAAGUGAAGCAUGUAACGAAUAAUAGCAAAUAAUUUUUUAAUUUGUGUUCUAUUUCGAGCUAGUUAUUUAGCUCACUACAAGGUUAUCUGAAAAUACAAAGGAUUAAAAAAUAAUAGUAAUAAACCUCCAAGUUGAAUUGAUUUAUGAGCAAUGGUAUGAGCUUAGACCUUACCACUGAUGCUGCUAAACGAGAGAUCCAAACUUUUUCAAUAAAUUAAAUAACUAAAUUUUGAUAAGUCUUUGGCCUGAAAUUAGUUACUCUUCUAUACCAUUUGUACUAUGAACAUAAAAUCGAUUUUGUGUGAAAUUAAUUGGGAAGCAUCCAAACAUGUCUGUGAAUAAUAUAAAUAAUGAAAAGUUAAAGGACCACCAAAAUGAUGUUAAUGAAGGAAAUGGAGAUAAAGCUAUUAGCUAUGAGAGAGCUUUGAUUGCAAUCAUGUGCUUCCAAGUUCAUUCUCUCAAUUGCUUUAUGAAUAUAUGUGAUUGCAACUGGUAAUGAGUAUUUAUAAUCGGUAAAUCAUAUUAAUUAUUCAUGUUAUUUUAAGGUGUUGUGUGCAUAAUACCUUGUGAGUUAAUUAGUAAUUCACAUCUUAAAGUUAUUAGUGUGAAACAUUCAUUGCUUUUAUCAAUGGGUGGAUAGACAUUUUAUAAUACACUCAUUUUAGUUUGAAGAAUAUUGUUAUUAAUUCUUUAGAAGCAACAAAUUUAUAAUAUCUUCUUAAAAUAUUUUUAAUCUUGGUAUAU